rnacentral:rRNA from 1 species
UAACAUCCGGAAACGGGUGCUAAUACCGCAUAGUUUUCUUGAUCGCAUGAUUGAGAAAGGAAAGACGGCCUUUGUGCUGUCGCUUAUGGAUGGACCCGCGGCGUAUUAGUUAGUUGGUGAGGUAACGGCUCACCAAGACGAUGAUACGUAGCCGACCUGAGAGGGUGAUCGGCCACAUUGGGACUGAGACACGGCCCAAACUCCUACGGGAGGCAGCAGUAGGGAAUCUUCCGCAAUGGACGAAAGUCUGACGGAGCAACGCCGCGUGAGUGAAGAAGGUUUUCGGAUCGUAAAACUCUGUUGUCAGAGAAGAACAAGUUGGAGAGUAACUGCCCCAGCCUUGACGGUAUCUGACCAGAAAGCCACGGCUAACUACGUGCCAGCCGCGGC